AGCAGCCGCGGUAAUUCCAGCUCCAAUAGCGUAUAUUAAAGUUGCUGCAGUUAAAAAGCUCGUAGUUGAAUUUCGGGACUAAUAUGUCGGUCGUGCCUCGGUACGUACUGGUUUAUUGGUUUCUCCUUUCUGAAGAACCAUGAUGUCAUUUAUUUGGUGUCGUGGGGAAUCAGGACUGUUACUUUGAAAAAUUAGAGUGUUUAAAGCAGGCUCACGCUUGAAUACAUUAGCAUGGAAUAAUGAAAUAGGACGUUUGAUUCUAUUUUGUUGGUUUCUAGGAUCGACGUAAUGAUUAAUAGGGAUAGUUGGGGGCAUUAGUAUUCAAUUGUCAGAGGUGAAAUUCUUGGAUUUAUUGAAGACUAACUACUGCGAAAGCAUUUGCCAAGGAUGUUUUCAUUAAUCAAGAACGAAAGUUAGGGGAUCGAAGACGAUCAGAUACCGUCGUAGUCUUAACCAUAAACUAUGCCGACUAGGGAUCAGAUGAUGUUAAUUUUUAAUGUACUCAUUCGGCGCCUUAAC
rnacentral:rRNA from 1 species